rnacentral:rRNA from 1 species
GAUGAACGCUGGCGGCGUGCCUAAUACAUGCAAGUCGAGCGAACAGACGAGGAGCUUGCUCCUCUGACGUUAGCGGCGGACGGGUGAGUAACACGUGGAUAACCUUCCUAUAAGACUGGGAUAACUUCGGGAAACCGGAGCUAAUACCGGAUAAUAUAUUGAACCGCAUGGUUCAAUAGUGAAAGACGGUUUUGCUGUCACUUAUAGAUGGAUCCGCGCCGCAUUAGCUAGUUGGUAAGGUAACGGCUUACCAAGGCGACGAUGCGUAGCCGACCUGAGAGGGUGAUCGGCCACACUGGAACUGAGACACGGUCCAGACUCCUACGGGAGGCAGCAGUAGGGAAUCUUCCGCAAUGGGCGAAAGCCUGACGGAGCAACGCCGCGUGAGUGAUGAAGGUCUUCGGAUCGUAAAACUCUGUUAUUAGGGAAGAACAAAUGUGUAAGUAACUAUGCACGUCUUGACGGUACCUAAUCAGAAAGCCACGGCUAACUACGU